UAGACGGUGAGGCAAGUCCGAUGUGAAAACCCGGGGCUCAACCCCGGGAUUGCAUUGGAAACUGUUUGACUCGAGUACUGGAGGGGUAAGCGGAAUUCCUAGUGUAGCGGUGAAAUGCGUAGAUAUUAGGAGGAACACCGGUGGCGAAGGCGGCUUACUGGACAGUAACUGACGUUGANGCUCGAAAGCGUGGGGAGCAAACAGGAUNAGAUACCCUGGUAGUCCACGCCGUAACGAUGAAUACUANGUGUUGGCGACCAAAGGUCGUCGGUGCCGCCNCAAACNCNUAAUAUUCCCNUGGGAGUACUNCNCAGUAUGAACUCAAGGAAUNACGGGACCCCNCAGCGU
rnacentral:rRNA from 1 species